rnacentral:misc_RNA from 1 species
GGAAGUAAAGUGAACAAGGUUUCCGUAGGUGAACCUGCGGAAGGAUCAUUAUUGUAUAACCGAGGUGCGAGGGCUGUCGCUGACCCGAAAGGUCGUGCACGCCCGAGUGCCCUCACACACAUCCAUCUCACCCCUAUGUGCACCACCGCGUGGGUCCCCCUUUGGCUUGUUCGGAGGGGGGCUUACGUUUUCACACAAACUUUGUAUGCAGUGUAGAAUGUAUUUUUUGUUUUUGCGAUCACGCAAUCAAUACAACUUUCAACAACGGAUCUCUUGGCUCUC